CGCUCUAGGCGCCUGGCGUCUCUAUGGCGCGGGACAAAGAUGGCGGCGCCGGGGCCGCUCUGGCCCCCGGCGGGUCCUGGGCUUUGUGGAUUUGCUGGCGUGGGGGAUGACGCGAGCCAAAGAAGCCAAAUCCUUUUCAGGCAGGCACUGUGCCACCGAGGCGUACCCCCCCGCCCGAAGUUGAUAUUUUAGUGAAGACAAAUCUUUAUUUGUACGUAGAAAUUGGAAGUGACGAGAAUAGCAGAGGCUGUUCCACGAGUGAAGAGGACAGCAUUUGAGGUGCCGAGAGUCGCGCUUUAGGGGUGGAAGGCCACCGUGCUGGAGUCUUCAGGCCUCAUCGAUGUAAAGGAAGUUUGCUGUGGUGCCCCUCUCCCUUCUCCUCCUGUGUCUGCAGUCUCACUGGCCACCUCCACCUCGUGUCACAGCCUGGACCCCGCUCUCCGUGGAGUGCCCUCUCUUGCCAGUAUUGCUGAGCAGACCACGCCAGGCUUGUGUGAGAUGCCCAGAGUGCGUGGCCCCCCGCAGCCUGCAGUCUCCCCGUGCCCGGGGCCUCUUGGUUCUCAGACUGUCUCCUUUGGUGUCUUUUGGAAUUGCCGGAGCCCCUAUUCAGACUUCUGACACAUUUCUAUUUUCUCUGUUUUUACUUCUUCCCUCCUGUUGCAUGUCUUUGUGUUCUUCCCACUGGCCUUUAUCUCUCCCCUCUUGCCGACCCUAGUGUGUCAGGAUGCUGUCACUCUUGGACAAUGAAGUGACAGAAAGUCACACUUAGUCCAGAACAUCUAGGGCGUAAACCAUCAACCGAAUGUGAUUCAUGAAUCUUUCGCUUCUGUUCCUUUUCUCAAGACUUAGUAAAAGAAUGAGGGUAGUUAUGCCAAGGUACACUUAGGGAUCUAUGAACCUUACUUUCAUUCCAAGUUACAUGGGAAAUGUGUGUACCUCUAAAGCAGAACUUGGAGGAAGAAUCAGGCUUUCUCAAGCAGUUUCUCCCGUUUCACAGUUAUGCUUCCAGAUUGCUCCUCACAGCUGCUGCCCCUGUUACAGAUAAGGUACGUAACAAAGCUCUUACAGAGUCCUGUCAGAGUGUCCAGGUUCCUCAGGAGUCUGCUUUCCUUCAAGGCUGACCUCUGCUCUGGUACUGAUAAGUAGACCAUUAUGCUGUGUAGAUGGAGCCCUGUGACAUCUUAGAAACUGUUUUCUCUCAAGAAGUGCAGAUAAGGUAGAUAACUAUGUUUCUAUGAACACAGUCUUGUGACACCCUGAACUCCCCUAGAACUGUUUUUCUUUCAUGGCUAAGCUGAGCUCUGUCACUGAGUAAAUAACUGUCUCUGUCUUUUUCGGGCCAGCCCCCUUGACCAAAUGUGUAAAGACUGGAGCCUUUCCUUUGUCCGAUGCUCAGCUGUUUUGAACAUACCAAAGUGCCAGCUGAGCUCAUGUGCUCCUAAAAUCCUUAAAUAAAAUCCCGUUUUCCCCGUU